GAUGAACGCUAGCGGCAGGCCUAAUACAUGCAGGUCGAGCGGCAAGUCGAGGAGUAAUCUGAGACCUAGAGCGGCGCACGGGUGCGUAACGCGUAUGCAACCUACCUUAUACUGGGGGAUAGCCCGGAGAAAUCUGGAUUAAUACCCCAUGGCACAUAUUGAGGGCAUCUGAGAUAUGUUAAAGAUUUAUUGGUAUAAGAUGGGCAUGCGUCUGAUUAGCUAGUUGGCGGUGUAACGGACCACCAAGGCGACGGUCAGUAGGGGUUCUGAGAGGAAGGUCCCCCACACUGGCACUGAGAUACGGGCCAGACUCCUACGGGAGGCAGCAGUAGGGAAUAUUGGGCAAUGGUCGGAAGACUGACCCAGCCAUGCCGCGUGCAGGAAGAAGGCCCUCUGGGUUGUAAACUGCUUUUAUCUGGGAAGAAAAAGGCCAUGCGUGGCAAAUUGCCGGUACCAGAUGAAUAAGCACCGGCUAACUCCGUGCCAGCAGCCGCGGUAAUACGGAGGGUGCAAGCGUUGUCCGGAUUUAUUGGGUUUAAAGGGUGCGUAGGCGGCUGAUUAAGUCAGCGGUGAAAGACUUCGGCUUAACCGGAGCAGUGCCGUUGAUACUGAUUGGCUUGAGUGUUGGAGGGGUACAUGGAAUUGAUGGUGUAGCGGUGAAAUGCAUAGAUACCAUCAGGAACACCGAUAGCGAAGGCAUUGUACUGGCCAACAACUGACGCUGAGGCACGAAAGUGUGGGGAUCGAA
rnacentral:rRNA from 1 species